rnacentral:miRNA from 1 species
GGAUGAUUGUCCCUUUGCUGCU